rnacentral:lncRNA from 1 species
CAGUCUAAUAGUUUUUCUUUUUAAUACUAUUUUUAUGGUAAAUACAGACAUGUAACUUGUGAUUUCAUUACAACGUCAUGUACAAAGCAAGCAAAAAAGCACACAAAUAAUUCUUCACAGAAACUUGAAAAAAAAAAAGGCCCUUAACAAGCAAGAUAUAUUUCAAAGACAAAACUGAUAAAGUUAAAAUCUAGAAUUAUAUUCAAGUUAAAGCACUACAAUGAGUAGAUACAUUAACAUUCCAAACUAUAAAACUUACGGGGGAAAAAAACAUUUUAAAUGAAGGAAAUCUGUUCACAUUCCAAACAGCAGAGCAAAAUCCAAGACUGCUUUUUUAAUCCCAGAAGUAUGACUUUCUUCUACGAGUUGCUAAUAUAGGUGGAGAUUUAAAGUCCAUUUCCUAAGACUCUUACAUUUAGCUGUCUAGUCUACUCUUACUGAACUGGAAAACCUGGCCCGUCUUUCAUACACAGGUUAAAUCCUCUCUAAUCUUAAACAGCCUACAUACCAGGGAAGUAGUAUUCUCCAUCUCACUUCAAUCUGGUUGGGACUACUAAAACUCCUAAAGUAGAGCUCAUCUU